rnacentral:rRNA from 1 species
GAUGAACGCUGGCGGCGUGCCUAACACAUGCAAGUCGAACGGAGUCCAGCCUUUAAGACCUUCGGGUCAAAGAGGGGAAGACUGAGUGGCGGACGGGUGAGUAACACGUGGGCAACCUGGCUCAUAGAGGGGGAUAACAGAGAGAAAUUUCUGCUAAUACCGCAUAAGCACACACUGCCGCAUGGCAGAGGGUGAAAAGAGAAUCGCUACGAGAUGGACCCGCGUCUGAUUAGCCAGUUGGCAGGGUAAGAGCCUACCAAAGCGACGAUCAGUAGCCGAUCUGAGAGGAUGAACGGCCACAUUGGGACUGAGACACGGCCCAAACUCCUACGGGAGGCAGCAGUGGGGGAUAUUGCACAAUGGGGGGAACCCUGAUGCAGCGACGCCGCGUGAGUGAAGAAGUAUUUCGGUAUGUAAAGCUCUAUCAGCAGGGAAGAUAAUGACAGUACCUGAAUAAGAAGCCCCGGCUAACUACGUG